rnacentral:rRNA from 2 species
AGAGUUUGAUCAUGGCUCAGAACGAACGCUGGCGGCAGGCUUAACACAUGCAAGUCGAACGAUAUAGUGGCAGACGGGUGAGUAACGCGUGGAAACGUGCCUUUCACUACGGAAUAGCUUUUGGAAACGAAAGGUAAUACCGUAUACGCCCUCCGGGGGAAAGAUUUAUCGGUGAAAGAUCGGUCCGCGUUAGAUUAGCUAGUUGGUAAGGUAACGGCUUACCAAGGCUACGAUCUAUAGCUGGUCUGAGAGGAUGAUCAGCCACACUGGGACUGAGACACGGCCCAGACUCCUACGGGAGGCAGCAGUGGGGAAUAUUGCACAAUGGGCGCAAGCCUGAUGCAGCCAUGCCGCGUGAAUGAUGAAGGCCUUAGGGUUGUAAAAUUCUUUCGCCAGGGAUGAUAAUGACAGUACCUGGUAAAGAAGCCCCGGCUAACUUCGUGCCAGCAGCCGCGGUAAUACGAAGGGGGCUAGCGUUGUUCGGAAUUACUGGGCGUAAAGCGCACGUAGGCGGACUAUUAAGUCAGAUGUGAAAUCCCGAGGCUCAACCUCGGAACUGCAUUUGAAACUGGUAGUCUAGAGAUCAGGAGAGGUUAGUGGAAUACCGAGUGUAGAGGUGAAAUUCGUAGAUAUUCGGUGGAACACCAGUGGCGAAGGCGACUAACUGGACUGAUACUGACGCUGAGGUGCGAAAGUGUGGGGAGCAAACAGGAUUAGAUACCCUGGUAGUCCACACCGUAAACGAUGAGUGCUAGUUGUCAGCAGGCAUGCCUGUUGGUGACGCAGCUAACGCAUUAAGCACUCCGCCUGGGGAGUACGGCCGCAAGGUUAAAACUCAAAGAAAUUGACGGGGGCCCGCACAAGCGGUGGAGCAUGUGGUUUAAUUCGAAGCAACGCGCAGAACCUUACCUACGCUUGACAUGCCUGGACGACUCCGAGAGAUCGGUUUCUCCCUUCGGGGCCAGUGCACAGGUGCUGCAUGGCUGUCGUCAGCUCGUGUCGUGAGAUGUUGGGUUAAGUCCCGCAACGAGCGCAACCCUCAUCCUUAGUUGCCAUCACGUUUGGGUGGGCACUCUAGGGAAACUGCCGGUGCCAAGCCGGAGGAAGGCGGGGAUGACGUCAAGUCCUCAUGGCCCUUACGCGUAGGGCUACACACGUGCUACAAUGGCAGUGACAAUGGGAUAAUCCCCAAAAGCUGUCUCAGUUCGGAUUGUCGGCUGCAACUCGCCGGCAUGAAGUUGGAAUCGCUAGUAAUCGUGGAUCAGCAUGCCACGGUGAAUACGUUCCCGGGCCUUGUACACACCGCCCGUCACACCAUGGGAGUUGGAUCUACCCGAAGAUUGUGAGCUAACUUCGGAGGCAGCAAGCCACGGUAGGUUCAGCGACUGGGGUGAAGUCGUAACAAGGUAGCCGUA